AGAGUUUGAUCCUGGCUCAGGAUGAACGCUGGCGGUAUGCUUUACACAUGCAAGUCGAACGCAAGUUUUUAACUUGAGUGGCGGACGGGUGAGUAACACGUGAGAAUUCACCUUUAGNGCGGGGAAUAACUAUCGGAAACAAUAGCUAAUGCCCCAUAUGCUCGCAAGAGUGAAAGGAGUAAUCCACCCAGAGAGAAGCUCGCGGCUGAUUAGCUAGUUGGUAAGGUAACGGCUCACCAAGGCAUCGAUCAGUAUCCGGCCUGAGAGGGCGGACGGACACACUGGGACUGAGACACGGCCCAGACUCCUACGGGAGGCAGCAGUGGGGAAUUGUUCGCAAUGGGCGCAAGCCUGACGACGCAACGCCGCGUGGAGGAUGAAGACCUUCGGGUCGUAAACUCCUUUCGAUCGAGACGAAUGGCCUUCGGGUUAACAGCCCGAAGGAGUGACGGUACCGAGAGAAGAAGCCCCGGCUAACUCCGUGCCAGCAGCCGCGGUAAUACGGGGGGGGCAAGCGUUGUUCGGAAUUACUGGGCGUAAAGGGCUCGUAGGCGGCCAACUAAGUCAGACGUGAAAUCCCUCGGCUUAACCGGGGAACUGCAUCUGAUACUGGAUGGCUUGAGUUCGGGAGAGGGAUGUGGAAUUCCAGGUGUAGCGGUGAAAUGCGUAGAUAUCUGGAGGAACACCGGUGGCGAAGGCGGCAUCCUGGACCGACACUGACG
rnacentral:rRNA from 1 species